rnacentral:misc_RNA from 1 species
UCUCCGUAGGUGAACCUGCGGAGGGAUCAUUACAGAGUUCAUGCCCUCCGGGUAGAUCUCCCACCCAUUGCUAUAACUACUCUCGUUGCUUUGGCGGGCCGCUGGGCCCUGCCCGGCCGCCGGCCCCGGCUGGCGCGUGCCCGCCAGAGACCUCACAAACUCUGAAUGUUAGUGUCGUCAGUGUAACUAUACAAUCGUUAAAACUUUCAACAACGGAUCUCUUGGUUCUG